rfam:Apaloderma vittatum contig7035, whole genome shotgun sequence.
GGCCGGUUAGCUCGGUCAGUUGAGCGUGGCACUAACAACGCCAAGGUCGCGGGUUCAAUUCCUGUUUGGUCCC